rnacentral:rRNA from 1 species
CCAAUAGCGUAUAUUAAAGUUGUUGCAGUUAAAAAGCUCGUAGUUGAAUUUCGGGGUCAGUAGGUCGGUCGUGCCACUGGUAUGAACUGGUUUUACUGAUUCCUCCCUCUUGAAGAACUGUAAUGCCAUUAAUUUGGUGUUGCAGGGAAUCAGGACUGUUACUUUGAAAAAAUUAGAGUGUUUAAAGCAGGCUUUAGCUUGAAUACAUUAGCAUGGAAUAAUGAAAUAGGACGUUUGAUCCUAUUUUGUUGGUUUCUAGGAUUGACGUAAUGAUUAAUAGGGAUAGUUGGGGGCAUUAGUAUUCAAUUGUCAGAGGUGAAAUUCUUGGAUUUAUUGAAGACUAACUACUGCGAAAGCAUUUGCCAAGGAUGUUUUCAUUAAUCAAGAACGAAAGUUAGGGGAUCGAAGACGAUCAGAUACCGUCGUAGUCUUAACCAUAAACUAUGCCGACUAGGGAUCGGAUGAUGUUAAUUUUUUAAUGACUCAUUCGGCGCCUUACA